UACGUAGGUGGCAAGCGUUGUCCGGAAUUAUUGGGCGUAAAGCGUGCGCAGGCGGUUAUGUAAGACAGAUGUGAAAUGCCCGGGCUUAACCUGGGAACUGCAUUUGUGACUGCAUGGCUAGAGUUUGGCAGAGGGGGGUAGAAUUCCACGUGUAGCAGUGAAAUGCGUAGAUAUGUGGAGGAACGACCAAUGGCGAAGGCGAGCUCGCUGGGACGGUACG
rnacentral:rRNA from 1 species